GAUGAACGCUGGCGGCGUGCCUAAUACAUGCAAGUCGAGCGAACAGAUGAGGAGCUUGCUCCUCUGACGUUAGCGGCGGACGGGUGAGUAACACGUGGAUAACCUACCUAUAAGACUGGGAUAACUUCGGGAAACCGGAGCUAAUACCGGAUAAUAUAUUGAACCGCAUGGUUCAAUAGUGAAAGACGGUUUUGCUGUCACUUAUAGAUGGAUCCGCGCCGCAUUAGCUAGUUGGUAAGGUAACGGCUUACCAAGGCGACGAUGCGUAGCCGACCUGAGAGGGUGAUCGGCCACACUGGAACUGAGACACGGUCCAGACUCCUACGGGAGGCAGCAGUAGGGAAUCUUCCGCAAUGGGCGAAAGCUUGACAGAGCAACGCCGCGUGAGUGAUGAAGGUCUUCGGAUCGUAAAACUCUGUUAUUAGGGAAGAACAAAUGUGUAAGUAACUAUGCACGUCUUGACGGUACCUAAUCAGAAAGCCACGGCUAACUACGUG
rnacentral:rRNA from 1 species